CCCCCCCCCCAUCUCCGACCAUAUCUUCCAUGUCUCUAUUUCUCACUCUCUCUCUCUCUCUCUCUCUCUCUUUUCUCUCCACCCCGACACUCAUUCUUUCCACUUUCAUUUUGGAGCACUGUGUUAACAGCGGGAAGAGCAAGAUGAGAGCAGUUGGGGUGGUUGAAGCAGGGUAUGGGCAUGAACAGAAAGUUGGUGGAACCUGAUUUGAGAUAAAAUGAUCACUAGCAGUUUGAAGUCGGGGGGGCGGGAAAUGGAGAAUGGCUCUAUAUUGGUCUCUACUCUCUUUGUAUUUUCUGUGAGUUUUUAUUAAGAGGGUUGAGAUGUUUUGGGGCAUUUCUAAGCUUUGUUUGGGAAGCUUUAGAGAGCUAUUAAGCAAUGGGAUCACUUUGUAAAGGGUAUAUUUAUUUAUCCCUAUCCUCCCAUUUUUAUGCAUAGUUGUAUUUAUUUUUAUACAUAUUUGUAUAUGUUGUUGUACAUAUCUAUAUUUGCUUCCAUAUAUAUCCGUAUAUAUGUUUGGCAGAUUUUGUUAUUCAUAGAUUAAUUUUUGUUUC